GACGAACGCUGGCGGCGUGCUUAACACAUGCAAGUCGAACGGAAAGGCCCUGCUUUUGCGGGGUGCUCGAGUGGCGAACGGGUGAGUAACACGUGAGUAACCUGCCCUUGACUUUGGGAUAACUUCAGGAAACUGGGGCUAAUACCGGAUAGGAGCUCCUGCUGCAUGGUGGGGGUUGGAAAGUUUCGGCGGUUGGGGAUGGACUCGCGGCUUAUCAGCUUGUUGGUGGGGUAGUGGCUUACCAAGGCUUUGACGGGUAGCCGGCCUGAGAGGGUGACCGGCCACAUUGGGACUGAGAUACGGCCCAGACUCCUACGGGAGGCAGCAGUGGGGAAUAUUGCACAAUGGGCGGAAGCCUGAUGCAGCAACGCCGCGUGCGGGAUGACGGCCUUCGGGUUGUAAACCGCUUUCGCCUGUGACGAAGCGUGAGUGACGGUAAUGGGUAAAGAAGCACCGGCUAACUACGUGCCAGCAGCCGCGGUGAUACGUAGGGUGCGAGCGUUGUCCGGAUUUAUUGGGCGUAAAGGGCUCGUAGGUGGUUGAUCGCGUCGGAAGUGUAAUCUCGGGGCUUAACCCUGAGCGUGCUUUCGAUACGGGUUGACUUGAGGAAGGUAGGGGAGAAUGGAAUUCCUGGUGGAGCGGUGGAAUGCGCAGAUAUCAGGAGGAACACCAGUGGCGAAGGCGGUUCUCUGGGCCUUUCCUGACGCUGAGGAGCGAAAGCGUGGGGAGCGAACAGGCUUAGAUACCCUGGUAGUCCACGCUGUAAACGGUGGGUACUAGGUGUGGGGUCCAUUCCACGGGUUCCGUGCCGUAGCUAACGCUUUAAGUACCCCGCCUGGGGAGUACGGCCGCAAGGCUAAAACUCAAAGGAAUUGACGGGGCCCCGCACAAGCGGCGGAGCAUGCGGAUUAAUUCGAUGCAACGCGUAGAACCUUACCUGGGUUUGACAUGGAUCGGGAGUGCUCAGAGAUGGGUGUGCCUCUUUUGGGGUCGGUUCACAGGUGGUGCAUGGCUGUCGUCAGCUCGUGUCGUGAGAUGUUGGGUUAAGUCCCGCAACGAGCGCAACCCUUGUUCACUGUUGCCAGCACGUUAUGGUGGGGACUCAGUGGAGACCGCCGGGGUCAACUCGGAGGAAGGUGGGGAUGACGUCAAGUCAUCAUGCCCCUUAUGUCCAGGGCUUCACGCAUGCUACAAUGGCUGGUACAGAGAGUGGCGAGCCUGUGAGGGUGAGCGAAUCUCGGAAAGCCGGUCUCAGUUCGGAUUGGGGUCUGCAACUCGACCUCAUGAAGUCGGAGUCGCUAGUAAUCGCAGAUCAGCAACGCUGCGGUGAAUACGUUCCCGGG
rnacentral:rRNA from 1 species